CUUCACCGAACCCAGCCACAACGGACGGUCCUCAGCCCGCUCCCGCCCGUAGGUGGCCAGCAGGGCACCGGCCUC
rfam:Streptomyces sp. MP131-18 scaf_01, whole genome shotgun sequence.